CCAAUUUUGUGUAAUAACGGAGUUUCCCACUACCCGUGAAUGCCUCUUUUUUUACGUCGCCGGCUCACUCCUCCAUCUCCGCCCACUCUCUGCUGAUCCCUGCCGGCCCGAGUGAAAGAGAUCUUUGGUUUUGCCUUUGCUGACUGCUGAUCUGAUCGUCUCAAGUCUGGUGACCUGCUGCAGAAGAUCCUCUCUCUCUAUCAUUAUAAGCAAUUCUGUCUAUCCUAUCACUCUCCCGACUCUAUCUAAUUUGACAGCCAUUCUAUCUUGUAUCCCUCUAUCCCUACUGCUCUAUCUAAUUUGACAGCCAUUCUAUCUUGUAUCCCUCUAUCCCUACUGCUCUAUCUAAUUUGACAGCCAUUCUAUCUUGUAUCCCUCUAUCUCUACUGCUCUAUCUAAUUUGACAGCCAUUCUAUCUUGUAUCCCUCUAUCCCUACUGCUCUAUCUAAUUUGACAGCCAUUCUAUCUUGUAUCCCUCUAUCCCAAGCGCUCUAUCUAAUUUCAGAAUCCAAGUUUUCAGAAAUCCAAGUUUUCAGAUUCCAAGUUUUCAGAAAUCCAAGUACCAGUACUUGAUCUAUCUGUUACAGAAUUCUGAGAGAUCUCUGCUCUCACUGCUCCUUCUUUCCUGUCAUUAAACUCUCUCACAUUCAGUCAUUUUGCUGAAAAUUACAAUUAGAAAGUUGAAUAUACAGUAGUAGAAUAUCAGUACAGUAGAACUUAUAGUAGUAACUACUUAUACAGCCCUACAUUUGUAGUUUUAACUUGGCAUUACUCUUUGGAAUAAACACUGAUAGUUUGGCUUACUGGUGCAAUUACUUUGAUACAUUAUAUAAAAUAUACACCUUUUGAAAGGUUUAUUUGUAAUAAGAUAAUCUGACUAUUCUGUAAUAUAUUCAGAGUGCUAUAUUCACAUAAAUAUUAAAUUUGAUUCAAAUACAUUUUUCAAGUCUGUUUCAUUGGCUAUAAUAUUUGACUACAAGUUUAUACUAUUAUUAUUUAAGGACAAACCCUUUUUUGUCACUCAGUGUAAGUGUUCAGUUAGAAUUGUCAUCUAGAGGCUGCCCUGAGAACCCAGACUUCCUGUUUCCUGACUGCUGCAGAACAUCCAGCUGAAGACUCCCCAUCGCCUGUCAUCUGAUCACCACACCAUCACAGCUCCUUAUAUUUGCUUUAAAUUUUAAAUAUCUGAAAGAUUUACACAAAGUCUACUUAAAAGCUAAGAUUUUUAUCAUAGCCUGUUGAUUGAUUGUUGAGAUUUAUUCUGCAUAUUACUUUACAGAAGUAUAGACCUAUUUGUUAUCCAGUCUGGUUAAAAAAAAAUAUAAGAAGUAAUAAUAUACAGUUUUUGAAAAAGUUACAAUAAAACAGACCAAAGUGUUUUCAAAGAACUUUAAAUAACUUUUAUAUUGAGUUUGUAUUUAAGUCAGCCUUUUACAUCAAUUCUGAUAAAUCUCUGAUUUAAUAGUUAUUAAAGUCAUUAGUUUUUCAGUGUUUACAGGUUGACUUUUGUUUACAUUUGUGUAUAAAUACAUAUAAGGUCCAGUUUGUACUUCAA
ensembl:lncRNA